GACGGAGGGGGCAAGCGUUGUUCGGAAUUAUUGGGCGUAAAGGGCUCGUAGGCGGAUCCGCCAGUCUGACGUGAAAUCUCCACCGCUCACCGGGGAGGGGCCGUUGGAUACUACGGAUCUGGAGUUCGGCAGAGGACCAUGGAAUUCCAGGUGUAGCGGUGAAAUGCGUAGAUAUCUGGAGGAACACCGGUGGCGAAGGCGGCAUCCUGGUCCGACACUGACACUGAGGAGCGAAAGCCAGGGGAGCAAACGGG
rnacentral:rRNA from 1 species